rnacentral:lncRNA from 1 species
AUGAACCAUGUUUUACACACAUUUAAUUAAUUAAUUAUGGCUGAAGUCAUUCACUGCUAGCCAGCAACUGCUUUAUUAUACACAAACCUGACCACCUUACAAAUACCACACUGGAGUGCUAAUGAGCUAUUAAGUGGGACUGCACGUUACCAGCAAUUUUGUGGGAAAUCAAGUAAUAAGAGAUCAAAUAUCAAAUAAAAGAGCUUUUAAUCCAAGUGAGAUAAUUAAUUGCACCUCCUGUCUCACAGCUUUCCUAAUACUUUACAAGAAAAAAGAAAAAGAGCUUUCUCAUCAAGUUAAUUUGAUCUUAUUGCCAAAAAGUUUUUUUAAAUUAUGAGUGCCAUUUAGCAGGUAUGACGGGAAUUAUUAUUUACAUAGUGCUUUCUCCUUGGGAUUCGAACGUACCACACAGACAUCAUUCAACUGCCCAGAAAGACAGUCGCUGAGCCCGAAGAGCUGAAGCAACAGGUGGGAGCAUCAGCACACUGAAGGUGAAGAUGAGGAUGCUGCUGGGGAAGAGGAGGCUUCUGCUUUAAGAGUUAUUGCCUUGUUCACAGGAAAUUCACUUCUGGAAAGCAAGCUAGCAGAAGAGCAAGGCAGAGGCAAACGUUGGCUGACACCUGGCUUUGCAAAAGGCUUGAGCAAUGCACCUACAGUAAAAGUGAGCUAGGAAUAAG